UGAAAAGCUGGAAGUUUCGUUCGUUCAUUGCUGCUGAACUUUUCUGUAUCUUACAGAGAUUGUGUGGCUCUGUUCCUGUGUGUGUGUGUGUGUGUGUGUGUGUGUGUGUGCUGCACACUGCCCCAAAGCCUGGCCCCUCCCCCUCACACAGAUGCAGACAGAGCAGCGAAGGGCACCAACACCUCUGACACUCACUCAGCUGUGGCAGAGAAGAGAGAAACAGCGAAAGAAACUGCAUUUCUUUUACUCCAUGGCAGAGGGGAAGUGUAAGGUGUGGAGCCACUUCACAGAAGACUCCACAGGCGCCAGAUGAACAUCUGCAGUGCAAGAGUUAGGCAGGGCUCCAGCACCAGCAAAGCAAAGAACACGACACAUUCACUGAUUUAGCAUUGUGUUUACAGUUUGCCUUUUCUUAUUUAUUAUUUACAGUUUGCCUUUUCUUAUUUAUCAUUUGCAGUUUGCCUUUUCUUAUUUAUCAUUGUGUUUACAGUUUGCCUUUUCUUAUCAUUGUUUACAGUUUGCCUUUUCUUAUUUAUCAGUGGGUUUACAGUCCAUAUGUUGACAGUGUUAUUAAUAAAAGUUCCUUAUUUUAAUUUAGUAGUCUUCUGCUUCUAUGUGUUGAAUCAUAUUUUGGGUAUUAUAAGAAUUUAUGUUCAUGUACAGUAUAUAUCCUUUGUAUAUCAAUGCUCUUAUUUUAAUAUAUCGGGCAAUAUAUCGGUUAUCGGCUGAUGUAUCGGAUGUCGGCUUUUUUUUGCCCCCAACAUCAGUAUCAGCAUCGGCCCCAAAAAUACCAUAUCGGUCGGGCUCUAGAAAGAGAUACUAGGCACAUUAUAGUAGAAAUGUGAAACAGUUAUAAAUGUGAAUGAAUUCUGUGAAAAGAGAUGGACUGAAAGCAUUCAUGGGCAUUUAUUGCACUUAUUUUACAAUUAUUAAGGACUGAAACAGAGACUGACACUGAAAGCCAUGUUUUGUACAGAGGGUAUGCACUUGAUGUCACCGCUAG